UUGUAAAAAAGUGCUAAACUUAAAAACUAAAUACUUUCAUCAUUCAACAUCACAUAAUUAGUAUAUGGCAUUGCGAUCUAUGGUUUGUUGCUAUCUCGAGGCCAGAUGUGGAAUACCUUCACAAUACCACUCUUUAGAUUUUGAAUGGAACAAUUCUCUCAAAAGAAGAGCUCUAUUUUGAACCUCAUCCAGAAAAUUAAAAAUUUUGCCUUGAAGAUAACGACCCAUGGACCUGAACAGAUGGUAGUCGGAAGAUGCUAAGUCUGGUAACGAGAAGUGUUUCAUCAGGUGUUAUCUUUUUGAAUCAAAACCCGAUUUCUAGUUACUAAUCCUGGAUAACAUUGGGUCAAAAUAUCAAACAUUUUU